rnacentral:lncRNA from 1 species
ACCGCCGAUCGAGGUAAAUUUCAUACCCUCGACUCGUUUUUCUCCGCUGAUUCCUCCUAUGGCCAAAUUGAGGCUGAAAUCCCGGCCAAACGGCCGGAAUACGCGGCCGAAACCCAGCGGCGCCGCCGCGCCCCUCUCAGUUUUUGCCUCCGACGAGGUCCUUCCCGGCCUCCGUUCGAUGCAAUUUUUAUAUCACCGUGAUCACCAUUCUUUUCUCUACAGGUUGACCGAAGCCGAAUCACCAAAACACGAACCUCGCCGGAGAGCCGCCGUACCCGAGAGCGCCGCCGCCGGUAAGCUCCGCUUUUCCGUGAUUU